GUGGUUGUAGCUCAGUGGUACAGCACUUGCCUAGCACAUGUGACACUCUGGGUUCGAUUCUCAGCACCACA
rnacentral:tRNA from 1 species